rnacentral:lncRNA from 1 species
ACGGCGCUCAGGGUCAGGUGAGGCAGGCCGGCCCGCAGGCAGACAGGCCCUCAUCUCUGUAUUGGGGGUGGGGAAGGGGCUCUGGGAGGGCGCAUGCCCCAGCAGCAGGAACGUCAAGAGCAGAGGGAACAUUUGAUCAUUUCUAGUUUGGGAAUAUUAUUAAUAAUUUUUGAACCUUCUUAUUUGUGUGCCCUGAUGUACAUGGACAUGCAUUUUAGGGGUGUAUACUUAGGGAAAUUGCCGGUUCAUGAGUAACACCUAUCUUCAGGUAUUACUUUUUGUGCCCUGCUGUCACCGUAGCUUUAGUAUAAAAUUUCACAUACAUGGACUCAGGGAGCAUAGAGUCUUUCCUGUCUGGCUUCUUUCCGCUGGCAAAAUGCUUGGAGACUUUUCCACGUUGCUGCAUGAAUCAAUGGAUCAUUUGUUUUCGUGGCUGAGCAGAAUUCCACCAACAUUUGUUUACUCAUCCAUGAAAUGAUGGACAUUUGGUGUUUUUCCAUUGAGAUUGUUAUGAAUAAUGCUGCUAUUGUCAUUCAAGGACAAGUCUUCUGUGAACAUCUGUUUUCACUUCUCUUGGGUACAUCCUUAGAAGUGGUAUUGCUGGACUGUAUCAAAAGUUAAUAUUUAACUUUCAAG